AGAGGUUGAUUUUGGCUCAGGAUGAACGCUGGCGGCAUGCCUAAUACAUGCAAGUCGAACGAAGUCUUUAGGAAGCUUGCUUCCAAAGAGACUUAGUGGCGAACGGGUGAGUAACACGUAGGUAACCUGCCCAUGUGCCCGGGAUAACUGCUGGAAACGGUAGCUAAAACCGGAUAGGUAUGAGGGAGGCAUCUUCCUCAUAUUAAAGCACCUUCGGGUGUGAACAUGGAUGGACCUGCGGCGCAUUAGCUGGUUGGUGAGGUAACGGCCCACCAAGGCGAUGAUGCGUAGCCGACCUGAGAGGGUGAACGGCCACAUUGGGACUGAGACACGGCCCAAACUCCUACGGGAGGCAGCAGUAGGGAAUUUUCGUCAAUGGGGGGAACCCUGAACGAGCAAUGCCGCGUGUGUGAAGAAGGUCUUCGGAUCGUAAAGCACUGUUGUAAGUGAAGAAUGCCAUAUAGAGGAAAUGCUAUGUGGGUGACGGUAGCUUACCAGAAAGCCACGGCUAACUACGUGCCAGCAGCCGCGGUAAUACGUAGGUGGCAAGCGUUAUCCGGAAUCAUUGGGCGUAAAGGGUGCGUAGGUGGCACGAUAAGUCUGAAGUAAAAGGCAACAGCUCAACUGUUGUAUGCUUUGGAAACUGUCGAGCUAGAGUGCAGAAGAGGGCGAUGGAAUUCCAUGUGUAGCGGUAAAAUGCGUAGAUAUAUGGAGGAACACCAGUGGCGAAGGCGGUCGCCUGGUCUGUAACUGACACUGAUGCACGAAAGCGUGGGGAGCAAAUAGGAUUAGAUACCCUAGUAGUCCACGCCGUA
rnacentral:rRNA from 1 species